rnacentral:rRNA from 1 species
GUGGGGAAUAUUGGACAAUGGGGGGAACCCUGAUCCAGCCAUGCCGCGUGUGUGAAGAAGGCCUUUUGGUUGUAAAGCACUUUAAGCGAGGAGGAGGCUACCGAGAUUAAUACUCUUGGAUAGUGGACGUUACUCGCAGAAUAAGCACCGGCUAACUCUGUGCCAGCAGCCGCGGUAAUACAGAGGGUGCAAGCGUUAAUCGGAUUUACUGGGCUUAAAGCGCGCGUAGGUGGCCAAUUAAGUCAAAUGUGAAAUCCCCGAGCUUAACUUGGGAAUUGCAUUCGAUACUGGUUGGCUAGAGUAUGGGAGAGGAUGGUAGAAUUCCAGGUGUAGCGGUGAAAUGCGUAGAGAUCUGGAGGAAUACCGAUGGCGAAGGCAGCCAUCUGGCCUAAUACUGACACUGAGGUGCGAAAGCAUGGGGAGCAAACAGGAUUAGAAACCCUUGUAGUCC